rnacentral:rRNA from 1 species
UACGUAGGGGGCAAGCGUUGUCCGGAUUCAUUGGGCGUAAAGAGCUCGUAGGCGGCCACUCAAGUCGAAUGUGAAACCUCGAGGCUCAACCUCGAGCCUGCAUUCGAUACUGGGCGGCUAGAGUCUGGUAGGGGGAUCUGGAAUUCCUGGUGUAGCGGUGGAAUGCGCAGAUAUCAGGAGGAACACCGGUGGCGAAGGCGGGAUCCUGGGCCAGUACUGACGCUGAGGAGCGAAAGCGUGGGGAGCAAACAGG